rnacentral:rRNA from 1 species
CCCUUAGAUGUUCUGGGCCGCACGCGCGCUACACUGACGAAGUCAGCGAGCAUGUCCUACGCCGACAGGUGCGGGGAAUCUUGUCAAACUUCGUCGUGAUGGGGAUUGAUUUUUGAAAUUCUUGAUCAUAAACGAGGAAUUCCUAGUAAGCGCAAGUCAGCAGCUUGCGUUGAUUACGUCCCUGCCCUUUGUACACACCGCCCGUCGCUACUACCGAUUGAAAGGUUUAGUGAGAUCUUCGGAUUGGCGCCACUGCAGCUCAGCAAUGGGCUUGGUGGAUGCCGAAAAGUUGAUCAAACUUGAUCAUUUAGAGGAAGUAAAAGUCGUAACA